AGCAGCCGCGGUAAUUCCAGCUCCAAUAGCGUAUAUUAAAGUUGUUGCAGUUAAAAAGCUCGUAGUUGAAUUUCGGGAUCAGUAUGUUGGUCGUGCUUCGGUACGUACUGUCAUUACUGGUUUCUACCUUCUGAAGAACCUUGAUGUCAUUAAUUUGGUGUCUUGGGGAAUCAGGACUGUUACUUUGAAAAAAUUAGAGUGUUUAAAGCAGGCAUACGCUUGAAUACAUUAGCAUGGAAUAAUGAAAUAGGACGUUUGAUUCUAUUUUGUUGGUUUCUAGGAUCGACGUAAUGAUUAAUAGGGAUAGUUGGGGGCAUUAGUAUUCAAUUGUCAGAGGUGAAAUUCUUGGAUUUAUUGAAGACUAACUACUGCGAAAGCAUUUGCCAAGGAUGUUUUCAUUAAUCAAGAACGAAAGUUAGGGGAUCGAAGACGAUCAGAUACCGUCGUAGUCUUAACCAUAAACU
rnacentral:rRNA from 1 species